AUGGAGACUCCUCGUGGCCUACUCCAGUCAGAUGCCUCGGCCGAUCAGGUGGCUUCCGAACGGUCAGACUCUGUUCAACAACAUGGGGUUGAUAAGGAGCAUGCCAUGCUGGCACCGUUCACAGCCGGAUGGCAGACCGCAAUCUCGCCGACAUUGAUUAUCGAGAGAUCUGAGGGCUGUUAUAUUUAUGAUGCCAACGGAAACAAGUAUCUGGAUGCCCUUGCAGGAUUAUUGUCUACAGCUUUAGGUGGUAGUGAGCCUCGAUUAGUCAAAGCUGCAACAGAGCAAUUGAACAAGCUGCCUUUCUACCACUCCUUUUAUAAUCAUACAACAAGACCCUCUUUGGAUCUUGCGAACGAACUUAUUAGCAUUUUCACUGCCAGGCAAAUGGGGAAAGUGUUCUUUACCUGCAGUGGUUCGGAAGCAAAUGACUCUCAGGUCAAGCUAGUAUGGUAUUAUAACAAUGCAUUGGGGAGGCCAAAGAAGAAGAAAAUCAUUGCACGAUCACAAUCGUAUCAUGGGACAACAUACAUAUCAGCUAGUCUAUCUGGUCUUCCUACGUUGCACCAAGACUUUGAUCUGCCAGGAAAUUUUGUUCUACACACAGACUGCCCUCACUACUGGCGUUUUCACCUCCCUGGUGAGACGGAAGAAGAAUUUGCAACUAGACUUGCCAAUAAUUUAGAGAAUCUUAUCCUCAAAGAAGGACCAGACACGAUUGCUGCCUUCAUUGCUGAACCUGUGAUUGGUGCUGGUGGUGUCAUCCUGCCUCCAAAAACAUAUUUUGAGAAGAUUCAAGAAGUUGUUAAGAAGCAUGACAUCCUUUUCAUAGUUGAUGAGGUCAUUACAGGAUUUGGAAGGUUGGGGGCUAUGUUUGGAUCUGAUUUGUAUGACAUCAAACCAGAUCUUGUUUCCUUGGCAAAGGCUCUUUCUUCUGCAUAUGCCCCCAUUGGAGCAAUACUUGUUAGCCGGGAAAUAUCAGAUGUAAUUUAUUCUCAUAGCAAUAAGCUUGGUACAUUUGCUCAUGGAUUUACAUACUCUGGACAUCCUGUUUCAUGUGUUGUGGCUUUAGAAGCAUUAAAAAUUUAUCGGGAAAGAGAUAUUCCUGGUCAUGUAGCACAUGUUGCACAAAGAUUCCAGGAGGGGAUCAAGGCCUUUGCAGCCAAAAGUCCAAUUAUUGGGGAGACGCGUGGUGUAGGAUUGCUGAUAGCAACAGAGUUCACUGACAACAAAUCACCAUAUGAUUUAUUCCCUUUUGAGUGGGGCAUAGGUGAAACAUUUGGGGCGGAGUGUAAGAAACGUGGUAUGGUGGUUAAGGUUCUUGGGAACUUGAUAGCGAUGUCCCCACCACUGAUAAUAACCCUUGAAGAAAUUGAUAAACUGGUGAGCAUAUAUGGAGAAGCCCUAAAGGUCACAGAGGAAAGAGUAGCGGAGUGUAAAGCCAAGAAGGAGUAG
rnacentral:rRNA from 1 species